rnacentral:rRNA from 1 species
UUAAGCGACUAAGCGUACACGGUGGAUGCCCUGGCAGUCAGAGGCGAUGAAGGACGUGCUAAUCUGCGAUAAGCGUCGGUAAGGUGAUAUGAACCGUUAUAACCGGCGAUUUCCGAAUGGGGAAACCCAGUGUGUUUCGACACACUAUCAUUAACUGAAUCCAUAGGUUAAUGAGGCGAACCGGGGGAACUGAAACAUCUAAGUACCCCGAGGAAAAGAAAUCAACCGAGAUUCCCCCAGUAGCGGCGAGCGAACGGGGAGCAGCCCAGAGCCUGAAUCAGUGUGUGUGUUAGUGGAAGCGUCUGGAAAGGCGUGCGAUACAGGGUGACAGCCCCGUACACAAAAAUGCACAUGCUGUGAGCUCGAUGAGUAGGGCGGGACACGUGGUAUCCUGUCUGAAUAUGGGGGGACCAUCCUCCAAGGCUAAAUACUCCUGACUGACCGAUAGUGAACCAGUACCGUGAGGGAAAGGCGAAAAGAACCCCGGCGAGGGGAGUGAAAAAGAACCUGAAACCGUGUACGUACAAGCAGUGGGAGCACGCUUAGGCGUGUGACUGCGUACCUUUUGUAUAAUGGGUCAGCGACUUAUAUUCUGUAGCAAGGUUAACCGAAUAGGGGAGCCGAAGGGAAACCGAGUCUUAACUGGGCGUUAAGUUGCAGGGUAUAGACCCGAAACCCGGUGAUCUAGCCAUGGGCAGGUUGAAGGUUGGGUAACACUAACUGGAGGACCGAACCGACUAAUGUUGAAAAAUUAGCGGAUGACUUGUGGCUGGGGGUGAAAGGCCAAUCAAACCGGGAGAUAGCUGGUUCUCCCCGAAAGCUAUUUAGGUAGCGCCUCGUGAAUUCAUCUCCGGGGGUAGAGCACUGUUUCGGCAAGGGGGUCAUCCCGACUUACCAACCCGAUGCAAACUGCGAAUACCGGAGAAUGUUAUCACGGGAGACACACGGCGGGUGCUAACGUCCGUCGUGAAGAGGGAAACAACCCAGACCGCCAGCUAAGGUCCCAAAGUCAUGGUUAAGUGGGAAACGAUGUGGGAAGGCCCAGACAGCCAGGAUGUUGGCUUAGAAGCAGCCAUCAUUUAAAGAAAGCGUAAUAGCUCACUGGUCGAGUCGGCCUGCGCGGAAGAUGUAACGGGGCUAAACCAUGCACCGAAGCUGCGGCAGCGACGCUUAUGCGUUGUUGGGUAGGGGAGCGUUCUGUAAGCCUGCGAAGGUGUACUGUGAGGUAUGCUGGAGGUAUCAGAAGUGCGAAUGCUGACAUAAGUAACGAUAAAGCGGGUGAAAAGCCCGCUCGCCGGAAGACCAAGGGUUCCUGUCCAACGUUAAUCGGGGCAGGGUGAGUCGACCCCUAAGGCGAGGCCGAAAGGCGUAGUCGAUGGGAAACAGGUUAAUAUUCCUGUACUUGGUGUUACUGCGAAGGGGGGACGGAGAAGGCUAUGUUGGCCGGGCGACGGUUGUCCCGGUUUAAGCGUGUAGGCUGGUUUUCCAGGCAAAUCCGGAAAAUCAAGGCUGAGGCGUGAUGACGAGGCACUACGGUGCUGAAGCAACAAAUGCCCUGCUUCCAGGAAAAGCCUCUAAGCAUCAGGUAACAUCAAAUCGUACCCCAAACCGACACAGGUGGUCAGGUAGAGAAUACCAAGGCGCUUGAGAGAACUCGGGUGAAGGAACUAGGCAAAAUGGUGCCGUAACUUCGGGAGAAGGCACGCUGAUAUGUAGGUGAAGUCCCUCGCGGAUGGAGCUGAAAUCAGUCGAAGAUACCAGCUGGCUGCAACUGUUUAUUAAAAACACAGCACUGUGCAAACACGAAAGUGGACGUAUACGGUGUGACGCCUGCCCGGUGCCGGAAGGUUAAUUGAUGGGGUUAGCCGCAAGGCGAAGCUCUUGAUCGAAGCCCCGGUAAACGGCGGCCGUAACUAUAACGGUCCUAAGGUAGCGAAAUUCCUUGUCGGGUAAGUUCCGACCUGCACGAAUGGCGUAAUGAUGGCCAGGCUGUCUCCACCCGAGACUCAGUGAAAUUGAACUCGCUGUGAAGAUGCAGUGUACCCGCGGCAAGACGGAAAGACCCCGUGAACCUUUACUAUAGCUUGACACUGAACAUUGAGCCUUGAUGUGUAGGAUAGGUGGGAGGCUUUGAAGUGUGGACGCCAGUCUGCAUGGAGCCGACCUUGAAAUACCACCCUUUAAUGUUUGAUGUUCUAACGUUGACCCGUAAUCCGGGUUGCGGACAGUGUCUGGUGGGUAGUUUGACUGGGGCGGUCUCCUCCUAAAGAGUAACGGAGGAGCACGAAGGUUGGCUAAUCCUGGUCGGACAUCAGGAGGUUAGUGCAAUGGCAUAAGCCAGCUUGACUGCGAGCGUGACGGCGCGAGCAGGUGCGAAAGCAGGUCAUAGUGAUCCGGUGGUUCUGAAUGGAAGGGCCAUCGCUCAACGGAUAAAAGGUACUCCGGGGAUAACAGGCUGAUACCGCCCAAGAGUUCAUAUCGACGGCGGUGUUUGGCACCUCGAUGUCGGCUCAUCACAUCCUGGGGCUGAAGUAGGUCCCAAGGGUAUGGCUGUUCGCCAUUUAAAGUGGUACGCGAGCUGGGUUUAGAACGUCGUGAGACAGUUCGGUCCCUAUCUGCCGUGGGCGCUGGAGAACUGAGGGGGGCUGCUCCUAGUACGAGAGGACCGGAGUGGACGCAUCACUGGUGUUCGGGUUGUCAUGCCAAUGGCACUGCCCGGUAGCUAAAUGCGGAAGAGAUAAGUGCUGAAAGCAUCUAAGCACGAAACUUGCCCCGAGAUGAGUUCUCCCUGACUCCUUGAGAGUCCUGAAGGAACGUUGAAGACGACGACGUUGAUAGGCCGGG